rnacentral:lncRNA from 1 species
UAUAAUAAAAUCUGAGAGACAUUUCACGUUCUAUUCCAUAGCUUCUAAAGACUUAAUUGUGCCAUUAACUCUAUAACCUUGUUCUAAAGGUAACUUAUGGUUCAUGAAGUUCUUUUGAAAGAAAUAAUCCUAGAAACUUUUUGUAUGAGAUGGUUUUCAAAAUUUUCCUCUGGCUAUUAAUUGUUAUUUAGUUCAGCAAUAUAUAUGACAUGGCACUACAUUUAAUUAUAUUAAUUAUAUGCAAUAAUUCUGACAGAAGAGAUACCAUUUCCUUUACCUGAAACUGACUAGAAGUCACUUCAACUAAGAAAUGAAAAAUUGCAAGGUGAAAGAAAAGGACAUCAGAGAAAAAUAUGGAAAAGACAGGAAAGAAAGAAAGUGGUGAGGAAGAGAGAGAAAAAAUGAAAGGAAACAGCCAAGACAGAGAAACAGAUCUUGUUUUUCUUGACUUUUAAAGCUGUCCUUUUUGUUUUGCAGUAUUUUAUUUGUAGAGGACCAUCAUGCAUGCUUUCCAUCUACCAUUAGUAUAAGGAAUUCUGCUUCCUAUGGACUACAUUGAUAAUGUGUCUCCAUGGAUGCAUUCCAGAGUAGAGUCAUUGGGAAAUCUACUGGAUGUUCAGCUUUUCUAAACUAUAAGUGUCCAAGAUGUCUUUCUCAAUGUGUGCUCCAAGAAGUAGUGAGUGGUAGCUGGUACAAGCAUCUUCAAGGAAUGACCCGGAUUCUUUGAAAUUUGGAGUGCCUGUCCUCUCUCGUCUUGAUCUAGGCCUAGGGUGGUAUUGAAUUUCAUUUUACAUGAUCUCCAGCCCUCCUUUUGGAAUUUGAUAAAAGGAGCUUAAAAACCUACCACAGCCCCAGACAUAGAUUCAGAGUUUGCUAGGAGCAGCAGAGGUAGGUGCCUACUUUACAGAGCCAUCAGAGUCCUAAAUAAGAGAAAAACAUAAGCUCCUUAUUUAAGCUAUGAGUAUUUUUCCUCAUAAAGUGUUACUUUUCAUUAUUAGUUGUAUAUUGAGACAGGUUUUGGCAGACAUAUGAGGUAUGUAUCAUGCAUCAUUCAUUGCUGCCUUGAGUCUGAGCAAUAAACAUUUUGAAAUAAAGACCA